rnacentral:rRNA from 1 species
AGUAACACGUAAGUCAUCUGCCCUUGGGUCUGGCACAACUCCGGGAAACCGGGGCUAAUUCCAGAUGAUAUCGCAAGAUCAAAGCUUUCGAGCGCCCAAGGAUGAGCUUGCGUCUGAUUAGCUUGUUGGCGGGGUAAUAGCCCACCAAGGCGACGAUCAGUAGCCGGUCUGAGAGGAUGAUCGGCCACAUUGGGACUGAGACACGGCCCAG